UGGGGAAUAUUGCACAAUGAGCGAAAGCCUGAUGCAGCAACGCCGCGUGAGCGAAGAAGGUCUUCGGAUCGUAAAGCUCUGUCCUUGGGGAAGAUAAUGACGGUACCCUUGGAGGAAGCCCCGGCUAACUACGUGCCAGCAGCCGCGGUAAUACGUAGGGGGCAAGCGUUAUCCGGAAUUAUUGGGCGUAAAGAGUGCGUAGGUGGUUACCUAAGCAGGGGGUGAAAGGCACUGGCUUAACCAAUGUCAGCCCCCUGAACUGGGUACCUUGAGUGCAGGAGAGGAAAGCGGAAUUCCUAGUGUAGCGGUGAAAUGCGUAGAUAUUAGGAGGAACACCAGUGGCGAAGGCGGCUUUCUGGACUGUUACUGACACUGAGGCACGAAAGUGUGGGGAGCAAACAGGAUUAGAUACCCUGGUAGUCCACACCGUAAACGAUGAGCACUAGGUGUCGGGGUCGCAAGACUUCGGUGCCGCAGUUAACGCAUUAAGUGCUCCGCCUGGGGAGUACGUACGCAAGUAUGAAACUCAAAGGAAUUGACGGGGACCCGCACAAGCAGCGGAGCAUGUGGUUUAAUUCGAAGCAACGCGAAGAACCUUACCAGGACUUGACAUCCCUCUGAAACCCCUGAUAACGAAGGGGCCUCUUCGGACAGAGGAGACAGGUGGUGCAUGGUUGUCGUCAGCUCGUGUCGUGAGAUGUUGGGUUAAGUCCCGCAACGAGCGCAACCCUUGCUGUUAGUUGCCAUCAUUAAGUUGGGGACUCUGGCGAGACUGCCGGUGACAAGCCGGAGGAAGGCGGGGAUGACGUCAAAUCAUCAUGCCCCUUAUGACCUGGGCUACACACGUGCUACAAUGGACAGAGCAGAGGGAAGCGAAGCCGCGAGGUGGAGCGAAACCCAUAAAACUGUUCUCAGUUCGGACUGCAGUCUGCAACUCGACUGCACGAAGAUGGAAUCGCUAGUAAUCGCGAAUCAGCAUGUCGCGGUGAAUACGUUCUC
rnacentral:rRNA from 1 species